rnacentral:lncRNA from 1 species
CCCAUUUUUAAAAUUACUGAAUAUGUUGAAAAGAAGUUGGGUGACCAUGGUGAACCAUGGUGAAAUGUUAUAUGAUAUUGGGUGAUUAUAGUGAACCAUGGAGAAAUAAAAUUAAAUUAGAUGCCCAUGGUGAUACUAAAUAAAAAAGUUGAGUGGCCGUAACAAAAUCAAAAUGGAUGGUCAUUAUGAUACUAAGUAUAAAGUUCAAUGGCCAUUGGUGAAUUUAGCAUUCCUACAUAUGCAACAAGUUUGUCUAUUUUUGAUUUCCUUAAUUUAAUAUAAUCUGACUCUUUCUUUGAUUUGUACGAGUUUGAUUUUGUGUGGAUAUAUAAUAGUUCCUCUUGUGCUUCAAGAUUUUUUGAAUAUUUGUCUUGGCUCUAUUUUUUUUGUCCCUCCUAAUAACUAUGCAAUUCCUUUCUUUGCCUUUUGAUUUCAUUCAACAAGAGUGUGAAUUUGCCUAUUUGACAAAUGGUGUGAUUUUUGAAUAAAAAAAGAUGAUGUAAUUUUGAUUGAUUGGUCGAUGCGAAGAUGGGUCAUUUUAGAGUGUUUUGGGGGGUUGAAGUAAGAAAGGAAUAUCGUAGAUAAAUGGGUUCCACUGAACAAAAGUUGAAAUUGGGACCCUACUAUGAAGAGAUGAAACUGUUAAAAGAAAUGCAGGAUCAUUCUGGUUAAUAUCUAUUUUCCUACUCUAAUAUUUUAUAUUUGCGUAGAAUUGUUUAAGUAAAAGUGAAUACUUUAUGGAUUCAUGGUAAAGACUCUUGAUUCAUAUUUCUUGUGAUCUUUGAAUGGUGAAUUUUUACUAUUUUAAAUUGAUUUACUACGGGGACAAGGAAGACACUAAAUUUGGAGCUAUGGCAUACUAGUGUUGUUCCAUUGGUUUCCUUGACUCAGGUUGGAAGCCUCAUGCACUAUUUUUCAUUAUGUAAUUUGGAAGAAGAUGAUGAUAUUGGUUUGUAUGAUUGUUAUAUGCUUUAGAAUAAGGAAUAAAAAUACUAAUAAUUUGGCUAUGCUAAGGUAAUAGGUGGCGAACGUAAAAAACGCUGAAGAUUGUUGAGCAAUAGUUCGAUUCUACAUUGCAGUCUUG